rnacentral:lncRNA from 1 species
CCAAACAUGUAAUCUGCUUAAUGGAAAGAUUUCUUCUCCAAGUCCCGCUUCUCCCUUAGCAAUGACAGGCUGAUGCAAAACAUCUGAGCAUUCAAAAGAGAACAAAAGGUAUGUCACUGAUAGAAUACAGAGUACUUUUAAAAUAAAAAGUAAAGAUACACCAGUAUAUUAUCAUUCUACAUAUUAUUAUUAUUAACCAGAUCAUUUUUCUUAUCCAGAAUAUGGCUAUUCAUCAAAAUUGGGAAUUGAAUUGGCACAUAUGACAAACUUAGCAGCAAACGAGCAAGGUGCAUGAUUCAAAGUUACAACAGAUCGAAGUUCCAUUUGAGUAUAAGGAAUAACAUUCAUAUCAAUCAAUAGUACCUAUUAAACUACCAGGUGCAUGAUUGAAUUAAACAGACACUAGCUAUUCAUCUUGCCAUCUACUGUAACAGAGCAACUAUGUCAAAGUUAAUUCUGUGUAUGUCACAUGAUACAUGCAUCAGGCACCUACCCAACUACAAGUCAGGAGGCCACUACUGUUAAACCAACUCAAGUGAGAGAGCCACCAAACUAGGUAGGAUAUUUCCUUAUCACUAAAAUUAAAAAUUUGAGCACACCAAAAAUUGAUUGUGUAUCAUAAGAUGAUCCUGAGAGUGCAGCACCAUGUUACCAUCUCUAAAGCUG